rnacentral:lncRNA from 1 species
AUCAAAGGGUACAAGAGGCUGCUUUGAAGCUGUCAGGUAGCUUUGAAGGACAAUUUUCCCAGGUUGACGGUUGCAAAUAGGCUGUCAAAGUCUACACACCUCCAUAUUCCUCCCACAUUCUUUCUGCUCGAAGUUCUGAAAUUGUGCAGAUCUAACUGUGCAAUGCGGUGCUCAGAUGCCUUAAACCACCCAGCUACCACUCUGAAGCCCCAGAAAUUGUUUAGGAAACAUACAAAUUUUGUAUUUAGACCCAUUUAGAAAUGAAUUGACAAGUGCAGAUGCUGAGGGCUUCGGCUAGUAACAACUUAACAUGGGUAGCUUUGCCGGCUAUUUUGACUGGGCUAAGAAACACUGUUAUUUUGUGGAAAAUUAAUUGAAGUUGAUUAUAGCACGGCUUUCUUAUUUGAUCCAAGUGUGCAAUGCUUGAUUUGUUUUUUCCUUUCCGCGGUAAUGCUUGAUUUGCUGACGUUUCUGAUGUAUCUUUUCUUUUUUGAAUCUGCCAGCCCGUUAAUUCCUUGUUUUAUGAUUGUGUCAGCGACAACUUACAGCUAAAAUAAAUAGGUAUUCCCUCUAUCCCAAUAUUAUGUACUUCUGUAAUUUUCAUGGAGCUAUGAAAAAUAAUACAAAUAUCUUCGCCUCUUAGGACUGGCUGACUUUGUUGAUGUUGGUCACACAUGUGCUGUCUAGCUGUUUAUAGAGCACCUGAUUUUAUCAUUAGAUUUAGUGGUCUCUUUUCUACAGUUCUUCCAGCAACUGGUUGUAUAUGAACUGAUACUGUGAUACUCUAUUCUCCUUUCUGUAAUGAUGAUGCUGUAAUUUUAAAUUCAGCUAGUUUCUUGUAUCUUGCCUUACAUGAGGAAUCAUCAAUAUCUGAUCUUUAUCUUGUUUAAUCUAGGUAGCAGCCUCUGUAUCACUGCAAUCUGACAAAGUGGAGGGCCUAGAAGGUGAAGCUUCUUUUAUGUCUGAACAAGCAUCGGUUUUUAAUUAACAGUAAUCCAUGAUCAGCAACAGUUUCUUUCACUAAUUUUCAGUUAACAGCAAUCCAUGAUAUUUUUUCACCAUGAUCAGCAGCAGUUUUUGUAUUAAAAUGAAUGUAUUCCAUGAAUUUUAAGUUAACAACUGAAUUUACUCCUUUAUUGGCAUUGUCAUGAUUCAGUUAACACUAAAUCAACUUCAUUAAUUUUCAGGUACAGUAUUCUGACGGAGUACCUUCUUCAUAGUGCAGAGGAGCAAAAUUGUUCUAAUCAGCAGCAGCACAGCACAGUCACUUGGAUCAGCGGAAGAGGAGAAUCAGCAGCACGGGCAGAGGAGCAGCAUCAGCUAGUUCUUCAGGUACAAUGGAAAGCAAGCAAGCUUAUAUCUGAAAAAUGAGUUAGCUAGGCUCAGAAUUUUGAG